GGCACGGUUUUAGUUGGUUUGGAUGCGAAAGGAACAUGCGAGGCGCUACGGGAUGCUUUAUAGGGCCUCGGUUCGUGCAAAACGGCAAGAAAAUCGCGCUGUUCCUGGGAUUGGAUUCGGUCCUGGAGAGAGUCCCGUUUGGCCACGCGAGGAAGAAGGGUUGGGGCGCUGACUUGCGGGGCCGGGUCGUCAGCGAUAGAAGAAAGAAGGGUGAGGCGCGCGGUUGGGGCGAGCUGGGCCGCUCGCGACCUGGGCCGGGGCGUGGGGGAAAAGAAACUGGACCUUGGCCGAUUGGGCCACCAGGCCGAGAGCACAGGUGAGUUCUUUCUCUUUUUUUUUUCUUUUCUUUAUUCUAUUUCUUUUCAAAGCAUUUUCUAAAAGAGCUUUUGAGCAUAAAGUAAAUAAAAUAAAAUACAAUCAGCACAAAAAUUAUUAUGCUUCAGCAUGAAUGCACAGCCAUGUCUCUAAACUUAUGAUAAAUUUUAUUUUCAACUGAAUUUAUUUAUUUACUACAUUAAAUGCUCAAAAAAAAAUACUUAAUUAAAUCAAAUUAAUUCCUAUUGAUUAAAAAUAAAUUUUUGGGUGUUACAGUACUCAUAGAUAUUUCCUGACUAGCUGGACCGUGGUAGUAGUGAGGAACGUGACAAUUCCGAGUUACCUUUGCAGACCAUAUCUCGUUAGCAGGAAGGAUAGGGUUUAUAGGUGCGGGUUGAACAUCCUUUGUGGUGUCUAGAUUCCGUU
rnacentral:lncRNA from 1 species